UUCACGGUAUUCUUUUCCCACCAGUUCCAGGAGAUCUCUGAAGUUCUUCCACAAGAUGUCUGGAUUUGUCAAAGAUAACCAUUAGAAUCCAUCUCACAACGCCAUUCAUUUCGGAAAACAUUUAGAUUUGUUCUGCGAAAUCAUUGAAAAUGUGCCAAAAGACCUCUACAUUUAACCCACAUUAAAGAUAGUGCACAAGGUGUCCGAAAAGGCCUUCAGAAUUGGUUUGAAUUUAUGCUAAAAGUCCUCUAUACUUUUCCCAUAAGGCUUUCAAGACUGCUAAAGUUCACUCCAAAUGCGUCGGAACUUGUUCCAAAAAGUAUUUAGAUUUGUCUGAAAAGGCUUUAGGAUUUGUGUCACGAAAUACCUCUGAACUUGUUCCAUGUUCCACAAGGUUUUUGAAGUGGCCGCAAAACAUCUCUGGUUUUGUCUCGUAAGGCCUCUGGAUUUGUUAUACAAGACCUCUGAACUAGUCACACAUGGUCGUUCGACUUGUCUCACAAUUUCUCUAGAUUGGUCUCAAAAGGCUGCAGGAUUUAUUUAAAGGGCUUCCAAAUUUGCCUUAAAAUGCUUCAGGUUUUGUCUCAAAACGUUUCAGGAUUUGUCCCGAACAACUUCUGGAUUUGUUCUACAAGACCUUUGACCUUUGAAGCUGCCGCACAAUGCCUCAGGACUUUUCACACAAGGCCGCAUGAUAACAUAAAGAUUUCUAGACUUGUGCUACGAAUUCUCUGAAUUUGUCUCAAAAGGCUGCAGGACUGUUCCAAAAAACCGCUGGGCUUGUCCCACCAGGCCCCUGGGCUUGACCCACAGGGGCUCUGGUUUUGUCCAAACAAGGCCCUGGGCUUGUCCAACGAAGGCCUCUGGGCUUGUCCAAACAAGGCCGCUGGGCUUGUCCCACAAGACCUCUGGGUUUGUCCCACAAGGCCUCUGGGCUUGUCCCACAAGGCUACUGGGCUUUUCCCACAAGGCCUCUGGGCCUGUCCCACAAGGCUACUGGGCUAGUCCCACAAGGCUUCUGAAAUUGUCCCACAAGGUCUCUGGGCUUGUCCCACAAGGUCUCUGGGCUUGUCCCACAAGGUCUCUGGGUUUGUCCAAACAAGGCCUCUGGGCUUGUCUAAACAAGGCCUCUGGGCUUGUCUAAACAAGGCCUCUGGGCUUGUCCCACAAGGCCUUGGGCUUGUCCCACAAUGCCUGGGAGCUUAUCUAAACAAGGCCUCUGGCCUUGUCUAUACAAGGCCUCUUGGCUUGUCCCACAAGGCCUCUGGGCUUGUCCAAACAAGGCCUCUGGGCUUAUCCCACAAGGUCUCUGGGCUUGUCUCACAAGGCCUCUGGGCUUGUCCCACAAGUCCUCUAGGUUUGUCCAAACAAGGCCUCUGGGCUUGUCCAAACAAAGCCUCUGGGUUUGUUCAAACAAGGCCUCUGGGCUUAUCCCACAAGGCAUCUUUGCUUGUCGUCCCAUAAGGCCUCUGGGCUUGCCCCACAAAGCCUCUGGCCUUGUCCCACAAGGCAUCUGGGCUUAUCCCACAAGGCCUCUGGGCUUGUCCCACAAGGCCUCUGGGCUUGUCCCACAAGGCCUGGGAGCUUAUCCAAACAAGGCCGCUGGGUUUGUCCCACAAGGCUUCUGGGUUUGUCCCACAAGGCCUCUGGGCUUGUCAUACAAGGCCUCUGGGCUUGUCCCACAAGGCCUCUGGGCUUGUUCCACAAGGCCUCUGGACUUGUCCUACAAGACCUCUGGGCUUGUCCCACAAGGCUACUGGGCUAGUCCCACAAGGCCUCUGGGCUAGUCCCACAAGGCUUCUGAAAUUGUCCCACAAGGUGUCUGGGCUUGUCCCACAAGGUCUCUGGGUUUGUCCAAACAAGGCCUCUGGGCUUGUCUAAACAAGGCCUCUGGGCUUGUCUAAACAAGGCCUCUGGACUUGUCCCACAAGGCCUCUGGGCUUGUCCCACAAGGCCUCUGGGCUUGUCCCACAAGGCUACUGGGCUAGUCCCACAAGGCUUCUGAAAUUGUCCCACAAGGCCUCUGGGCUUGUCCAAACAAGGCCUCUGGAUUUGUCCCACAAGGCCUCUGGGCUUGUCCAAACAAGGCCUCUGGGCUUAUCCCACAAGGCCUCUGUAUUUGUCCAAACAAGGCCUCUGGAUUUGUCCCACAAGGCCUCUGGGUUUGUCCAAACAAGGCCUCUGGGCUUGUCUAAACAAAGCCUCUGGGUUUGUUCAAACAAGGCCUCUGGGCUUGUUCAAAAAAGGUCUCUGGGAGUUCUUUGAAUGUGUUCCAAACGUGUUCUGUACCUUUCUCAGGUUUCCUCUAACCUUGUAGAAUACUUAGUCUGUAUGGCCGCUAGAUUUGUCCCUACAGCACCUCUCGUUAAAUAUCCGUACUACCCUCACAAGUACUUCAACAAUUCCUCUGAAGCAUUACCACAAGGCCUCUGAACUUCUUCCAGAAGGCCUUUUAACUUACAAAGCUUAUGAGCUCGUACUAGACGGUCUCUUGAUUUGCCUCAUAAGAACUAUGGAUCCACACGAUCUUAAGAUUUCCCCUGCAACCUUUGAAUGCGUGCCAAAAGGCCUUUGUACUUGAUCCAUAGUUUAUUCAAACUUGUUCUAAACGGUCGCUGCGCUUGUUCCACAAAGUUUCUGAAAAUGUCUCAUAAGGUUUCAGGACUUGUAUCUUAAGACAUCUAUCCCCCUAUUCUGCGAGUCACGUGACUCUCUGUCACCUUGUGUGAGGUGCCUCUCCAUUUGAUUUGCACAGAGAGUCACCUCACCGAUGAAAGAGAGUCACGUGACUCGCAGAAUAAGGAGGCUAGAUUUGUCCCAAACAGCCUAUGUACUUUUCCACAAGUUCUUUAAAUUUGUUCGACUAGGUCCCAGAACUUGUUCAACAAGGUAUCUGGAUUGAGCACACUACUUACUUAAGUAUCCUGGGCCCCUUUAGUAGAGCAAUGGGCCAACCUUUUAACCCGCUAAACUUUUGGAUAUCGCUCGGAAGGCAGUGCUGAUUUUACUCGGCAGUGGUACAACGACCUCUUGCGGGACAAAAGGUCUCUGUAUCACUUCCAGAAUUCUCUUAAACUUGCUCCCCUGAAUUCGUCCCAGAUCGCUUACUGAGUUAGUUUCAGCGCGGCCGUGUAUAAAACAAGAAUCCGUCCCGAAAGGGAAGUGAAGCCAUCCAUCUUGGCCUUGGCAUAACGAGCAAUGGCAACACGUUCCUUGUUGUGGACGGGAGAUUUGUUUCCCUUGCAGGUGCAAUCGAUUAAGUCCAACCUCAAAUUACCAUGGUCCACUAGCGGUGCACAUGUUCCAGGAAGUUUGUUGGAGAUGUUACGUAACUACUUUCAUUCGUAAACAAACGGCGGUAUCUGUUCAAAUCUAUGCUAUUUUCUGUCGGACAAACCUUCAAUAAUUUCCUAACAAUAUUUAAGAACGUUUUGCAGGUUUGACUCAGAGUUCUGGAGGCCUACAGUGCCUAUAUUUGCAUGACAAUCCAAUAUCCUGUGGAAUCCCUAUUAGCAUGGGACUGUUAUGCGAUUAGCGACAGUACAGGCUUAUAAGAAUCGAUUGACUGAAAUCGAUCACAGACAAACAGAUUUAACAUGUCGGUGAUUGUUUUGGCUUGCAAAUCAAUCGCCAGCCGCAGUGGUUCUAUGCAUUAUUCACCUAUAAUCUUAUUUUCGUUCGAACUCUUUUUUUGUAUGGAAAAUACGGUUCGAACGAAAACGAGAAUAUGGGUGAUUAUCUGACAGUUGCAAGCAAGUUUGUCACAAUGGCUCGCUCGCUGAACAUGUUGCACACAGAAAAAUAUGCACGUUUGGAUUUAAUGAUCCUAAUACCAAUAAUAGCAAUGUAGUUUGAUAAUUAUUUCAUUGUUUAAAGGAACCAUCUGGAAGCUUCCAUGUAAAUUAAAGUUUAAUCGGCAAACUUCACGUAAAAACAAAGUGUAGAUUUUUCUGAGUGUAUCAAGCACAGCUGAACAAAAAAUCAGGUUAGAAAGACCGGCCCGUCCAACGCAAAAUCCUCUGUGUAAUUAAUUUAAAAAAAUCCAAAGAGAGUAACAGGAGAAGACAAACAGGAAAUUCAAGUGCAAUCAACUUAGCAUUUUUUUUUAAUUUUCUGUACCAUUGAUCUUCUCUGAGACUCUUCUUUCUGCUGAAAUGUCUCUACCGAAGAACUUUGAACGAGCUGCCCACUCGCUUUGUCGCAACAUCAUCUUCUCACAUUGUACGUUUCUUCUGACGCAAAAAAUCAACUCAUCUUCCCCCUCUCAAGAGCAAUUCCUUUUAGCGAAAUAAAUGGCUUAGUGAUAAAUGUCAGCUAUAUAGCCUAGCAAUAUUUAGACAGCUGCGCGUGGUGUUUAUUGUUUUUAUCCACACUUGUUUCACCCUACGUUCUUCCGUAUAGGUAUUUGUGGCUGUUUUUCCCAUUUUCAAACUUUCGUUAAUUUGUUUCCAGUUCGUUUUACAUUUUAGCUCACCGACUUAGAUCAAGUGUUGUAAAGUUUUAACUACUUUUUCCUGUUCUCCUAUUCCUGUGGGAUUUGUGUAUAGUUGCCAACUAAAUCUGCUUUAUUUUAUAUAUAGAGAGAGAGAGCGAACGGAAACACCCAUUCACCCAAAAUUGCAUCGACUACCAUCUGUAAUUAGUACUCACAAACACACAUUUACACCAAAACACACAAACACACGCACGCCUCUUCUUUCGCACUGUGCGCACACUCUGGUGGUGCACAUUUCCAAACGAAAGAAGUAAAGUGAAUGAUACUUGUAAUUAAACAAAACGACAUACAAACACACACACACACACACACACACACACACACACACACACAAACAUGCAAUUCGUCUGAAGAAAUAGUUUUCUCUUGUUUGAUUUUAGUUAGCUUUAAAUUUCUGGAUGUGGAGUUUAUUCUAAUUGAUUGAUGAUAAAUCUAUUAUUACGCCCCCUUCCUCUUAAGAUCAAACCCGAGAAACGGAUUAGAAAGAGAUAGAGAGAGGAGUAAAACUUGCAAUGAAUUCAAUUUGAUAACGUUUUAUUACAAAUUUAAGCAGAACAAAAAAAAUAAUGCAUCAGCGCAGAAAACACAAUUCUAUUAAAAGAAAAAAAAAAAACAAACUAGAUUUGCUAAAAAAAACUACUAUGUGUAUAAAGAGGAAAGUGAAGAAAUUUGAAAAUCUAAACCAACUCAGACACUUGUGUGCAGACACAGGCACCAAGAACUCUAGAGCGACAGAGGUAAACAUGCUGCAAAAAAAAGAAAGCUAUUAACACUUGUAGUAGACCUUUGCGUUUUUAUCGCAAAACCUGCGAAACCUACACACGCAACACAGUAAAUAUGGAAAUCGAACUGAAUAAAAAAUAGGAAACAAAAACAAAACCAUAUUUAUUUAUUUUUUUUCCGUUUCCGUCUACUCGGUCGCCAACCAACACUAAACGAAUAGAAGAAAAAGAAAUACAACAAUGCAACAGAAAAUCGCGAAUGUAAAAAUCGGAACACAGAAAAAAGGGAGAAACUGACAAAAAAAAAUCAACUUAUAAAUAUAAUUUCCGUUCGAUUUAUUGUUUUUAAAUCAAUUGAAUUAAUUCAAGUAAAAAAUAUACCCAUACAAUAUAUAAA